rnacentral:rRNA from 1 species
UACGUAGGGUGCAAGCGUUGUCCGGAAUUAUUGGGCGUAAAGAGCUCGUAGGUGGCCUGUCGCGUCGGCUGUGAAAACUCGGGGCUCAACUCCGAGCUUGCAGUCGAUACGGGCAGACUAGAGUUCGGCAGGGGAGACUGGAAUUCCUGGUGUAGCGGUGGAAUGCGCAGAUAUCAGGAGGAACACCGGUGGCGAAGGCGGGUCUCUGGGCAGUAACUGACGCUGAGGAGCGAAAGCGUGGGGAGCGAACAGG